rnacentral:rRNA from 1 species
UGGGGAAUAUUGCACAAUGGGGGAAACCCUGAUGCAGCGACGCCGCGUGAGCGAUGAAGGCUUUCGAGUCGUAAAGCUCUGUCCUAUGGGAAGAUAAUGACGGUACCAUAGAAGAAAGCCCCGGCUAAUUACGUGCCAGCAGCCGCGGUAAUACGUAAGGGGCGAGCGUUGUCCGGAAUUAUUGGGCGUAAAGAGUACGUAGGCGGUCUAUUAAGUCAGGUGUGAAAGCGUGAGGCUUAACCUCAUUAAGCACUUGAAACUGAUAGACUUGAGUGAAGGAGAGGAAAGUGGAAUUCCUAGUGUAGCGGUGAAAUGCGUAGAUAUUAGGAGGAAUACCGGUGGCGAAGGCGACUUUCUGGACUUUUACUGACGCUCAGGUACGAAAGCGUGGGGAGCAAACAGG